UUCCGGUUGAUCCUGCCGGAGGACAUUGCUAUUGGGAUUCGAUUUAGCCAUGCUAGUCGAGCGAGUUCAGACUCGCGGCGCAUAGCUCAGUAACACGUGGCCAAGCUCCCCUUCAGUCGGCGAUACCCUCGGGAAACUGAGGCUAACAGCCGAUACACGACGCCUGCUGGAAUGCGGCGUCUGCGAAAAGUAAUGCUGAAGGAUGCGGCUGCGGCCGAUUAGGUAUACGGUGGGGUAACGGCCCACCGUGCCAGUAAUCGGUACGGGUGAUGAGAGUCAGAGCCCGGAUACGGAAUCUGAGACAAGAUUCCGGGCCCUACGGGGCGCAGCAAGCGCGAAACCUUUACACUGCGCGAGAGCGCGAUAAGGGGACCCCGAGUGCGAGGGCAUAUAGUCCUCGCUUUUCUGGACUGUAGGGAGGUCCAAGAAUAAGGGCUGGGCAAGACCGGUGCCAGCCGCCGCGGUAAUACCGGGUGCCCGAGUGAUGGCCGAUUUUAUUG
rnacentral:rRNA from 1 species